UACGAAGGGGGCUAGCGUUGCUCGGAAUCACUGGGCGUAAAGGGUGCGUAGGCGGGGCUUUAAGUCAGGGGUGAAAUCCUGGAGCUCAACUCCAGAACUGCCUUUGAUACUGAGGAUCUUGAGUACGGGAGAGGUGAGUGGAACUGCGAGUGUAGAGGUGAAAUUCGUAGAUAUUCGCAAGAACACCAGUGGCGAAGGCGGCUCACUGGACAGGUAUUGACGCUGAGGUGCGAAAGCGUGGGGAGCAAACAGG
rnacentral:rRNA from 1 species